rnacentral:rRNA from 1 species
GACGAACGCUGGCGGCGUGCUUAACACAUGCAAGUCGAACGGUAAGGCCCUUCGGGGUACACGAGUGGCGAACGGGUGAGUAACACGUGGGUGAACUGCCCUGCACUUCGGGAUAAGCCUGGGAAACUGGGUCUAAUACCGGAUAGGACUCCGGACUGCAUGGUCUGGGGUGGAAAGCUGUUGCGGUGUGGGAUGCGCCCGCGGCCUAUCAGCUUGUUGGUGGGGUGAUGGCCUACCAAGGCGACGACGGGUAGCCGGCCUGAGAGGGUGACCGGCCACACUGGGACUGAGAUACGGCCCAGACGCCUACGGGAGGCAGCAGUGGGGAAUAUUGCACAAUGGGCGCAAGCCUGAUGCAGCGACGCCGCGUGAGGGAUGACGGCCUUCGGGUUGUAAACCUCUUUCAGCAUCGACGAAGCGAAAGUGACGGUAGGUGCAGAAGAAGGACCGGCCAACUACGUGCCAGCAGCCGCGGUAA